AAGGUAGGGAGGGUGCUUUGGAGCCUCUGCCUGAGGGAAGAUUAUAUGACCUCUUUCCUUAUAAAAAUGUUAAAAUAUAAAUAUAUGUGGAUGUAUGAACAAAAAUAUACGGACUGAGGCAAAUAUUUUUAUAACAUCAAGUGGGGGCAGGGGGCCACAAAUCUGGGUAUAGAUGUAAAAGGGAUCACAAGGAUAAAAAGCCUGAGAACCACUAAUGUAAUGGUUUUCUCUAACAAUAGUGUAUGAGAAUAGACAGUGCAGUUGAUGUUACAUUGAUAGUUAUUGCUGCUUUGGGGAUUCAGGCGUGUAUAUUGUACAGUAUUCCAGAUGCCAGAAAAACACUCCAAAAAGCAGUUGUCUUCAGCAGAGCACAGAAAUAGGCUUUAACAGCAAAACUUAAGUAUAUGAAAGAACCAAAAUGCCUGCAAGGCGUGAAGGGCAGGUA